GUUCAUAAUAUCUGAGAACUUCAUAGAAUCAUAGAAUUCUAUGAUUCUAUGAAGUUCUCAGAUAUUAUGAAC